UACAGACUAGUUCAUUUAACCUGUAAGUUAUAUUGAAUUGUACAUGUUAGUCAAAGUCGAAGGCAGAAUAACAAGGAAAUACAUUUCCUCAGGAAAUACUUCUGGGGGAUAUCUUGUCUGGAAAGAACCUCCAUGCAGUGAGUGCCUACCUCAGAAUGCAAGAGGACUACCAGCCCGCUUGACGAACUGUGCUCCUGGGUGAUCGAGGACCAAUCACAUUCAAGACGUUAAAUAGUGGCCACGCCUCCCACGGGCUUAAAAGCCACCAGAAGCCUCUGGCGCUGCGAGGAGCAAAACACCUUUCUGCACCCUGGAAGCUCCUGGCUCUUGCACUCCAGCAGGGCAGAGGAAAUGCCAGCUCUCUCCAGGCCCUGUACAGAAAAUACUCAAGAAUAGAAGCGAAGCAGAGAUACAGACAAGGAAAAAUCAGAGAUACAGACUAGGAAGGAGUAAUAGAAAUAUUCAUAUUAUCUGUCAAGGAUAGGAAGAUCAAGAGGCUGAAGUGACUCACUGAGGAAUUCAACCUUGGCUCUGCACAGAAGUGCUUGCAGAACUCUGCCUCUCUCUAGAAGCAUCUUGCACCUUCCAUCCAUUAGUCACUAACCCACAUGCUCCAAUGCACACUCAGAAAAGUGACUAAAAUAAUGACAAAGAUUAUUAAAAAUAAAUAAAAUAAACUACUUUUUGUUCUGGAAUUACUAGCCCCAUACUCUUUGUAUAAGUCUGCACAUUUCUUCCAGAUUUUGAACAGCUGUUUCUAGUCAUCUCAUUAAAUAAUAUGCUUCCUAUGGUUUCCUCAGCCUUAAUAUGAAUGCUGGGUUGGUGCCUGUGUGACUGGGCUGUUAAUGCUUUAGCUUUAGCUG